rnacentral:rRNA from 1 species
UGGCGGACGGGUGAGUAAUGUCUGGGAAACUGCCUGAUGGAGGGGGAUAACUACUGGAAACGGUAGCUAAUACCGCAUAACGUCGCAAGACCAAAGAGGGGGACCCUCGGGCCUCUUGCCAUCGGAUGUGCCCAGAUGGGAUUAGCUUGUUGGUGGGGUAACGGCUCACCAAGGCGACGAUCCCUAGCUGGUCAGAGAGGAUGACCAGCCACACUGGAACUGAGACACGGUCCAGACUCCUACGGGAGGCAGCAUG